rnacentral:piRNA from 1 species
UGCAGAGAUGGAGCCACGUGAUUCUUC